UACGUAUGAGGCGAGCGUUGUUCGGAAUUACUGGGCGUAAAGGGUCUGCAGGCUGGGGAGUAAGUCAGGUGUUUAAUACUACGGCUCAACCGUAGAACAGCAUCUGGUACUGCUUCUCUUGAGUUCGGAAGGGGAGGACGGAAUUCCCGGUGUAGCGGUGAAAUGCGUAGAUAUCGGGAAGAACACCAGCGGCGAAGGCGGUCCUCUGGUCCGAUACUGACGCUCAUAGACGAAAGCUAGGGGAGCAAACGGGAUUAG
rnacentral:rRNA from 1 species